rnacentral:rRNA from 1 species
UACGUAGGGUGCGAGCGUUGUCCGGAAUUAUUGGGCGUAAAGAGCUUGUAGGCGGUUUGUCGCGUCUGCUGUGAAAAUCCGGGGCUCAACUGUGGGCUUGCAGCCGAUACGGGCGGGCUGGAGUUCGGUAGGGGAGACUGGAAUUCCUGGUGUAGCGGUGAAAUGCGCAGAUAUCAGGAGGAACACCGGUGGCGAAGGCGGGUCUCUGGGCCGAUACUGACGCUGAGGAGCGAAAGCGUGGGGAGCGAACAGG